UACGAGGGGGGCGAGCGUUGUUCGGAAUUAUUGGGCGUAAAGGGUGCGUAGGCGGUUCCGCAAGUCCUGUGUGAAAUCUUCGGGCUCAACUCGAAGUCUGCACGGGAAACUGCGGGGCUUGAGUGUGGGAGAGGUGAGUGGAAUUCCUGGUGUAGCGGUGAAAUGCGCAGAUAUCAGGAGGAACACCAAUGGCGAAGGCAGCUCGCUGGGACGUGACUGACGCUGAGACGCGAAAGCGUGGGGAGCAAACAGG
rnacentral:rRNA from 1 species